AAGUGUGAAAUGAAUAAAAAAGUUUCUUCAAUUGCUGAUAUUCUUGAGAACCAUCAUACAAAGAAGAAAAGGAGCAGGACUACUUGCAAACGACUUGCUUGAGGGGACUAAUAGAAUACACUUUGCAGCCCUGGACUUGAUGGUACAUUGGAAGCAUGCGGAUUGGGAGAUAUGAAGAUGUUUUUGAGAGAUGUAUGAUGAAGUGUUGUA